GGAAUGGGCAAAGGGUGUCCGGGUCGCAAUUGUAAAUGAGAACGAGAUCGAGAUAAGACCGAGACCGGGAGGUGGUCAAGGGAACCGAGACCAGGUCAAGACCAAGACCAGAAAAAUAGAGAGAAUGGAACCAGCAGAGAGAGGAGGGGAAAACUAUCUCUGGAAGAUGGCCACCGAGACAGAGGAGCUAUCCAGGAAGAACCACUAAGACGGUGACAAUCCAGUGACUUUUGUUGUAGUUUAAAGAUAAUCCAAUUGUGUCCCUGUUUCAUCUGGAGAAGAUGUAUGUUUUUCCUUGGAAGAUUUUCAUUGAUUAUGUUGGAGUGUUUUUGUUGACCAAAUGCCCUCAAUAGAGAACUGUGUUCAAUCAAGAAAACCUACU